UAGGGAAUCUUCCGCAAUGGACGAAAGUCUGACGGAGCAACGCCGCGUGAGUGAAGAAGGUUUUCGGAUCGUAAAACUCUGUUGUGAGGGAAGAACAAGUACCAGCUAACUACUGGUACCUUGACGGUACCUCACCAGAAAGCCACGGCUAACUACGUGCCAGCAGCCGCGGUAAUACGUAGGUGGCAAGCGUUGUCCGGAAUUAUUGGGCGUAAAGCGCGCGCAGGCGGUCCUUUAAGUCUGAUGUGAAAGCCCACGGCUCAACCGUGGAGGGUCAUUGGAAACUGGGGGACUUGAGUGCAGAAGAGGAAAGUGGAAUUCCACGUGUAGCGGUGAAAUGCGUAGAGAUGUGGAGGAACACCAGUGGCGAAGGCGACUUUCUGGUCUGUAACUGACGCUGAGGCGCGAAAGCGUGGGGAGCAAACAGG
rnacentral:rRNA from 1 species